AAGAGUGUACUUUCAGGGAUUAUUUCUAUAGUUUGUUCCUAGAGAAGUUUCUCUGAAAUCCCAGAAACCACCAGGCAGAGGUGCGGCAUCCUCUCCUGAGGUGAAGCCGGCUCUUCCUGUGGCUUCACUGCAACUACCUUUUGCCAUGAUCAUCCUUCUCUUCCUCUGGAAGAGAGAAAGGGAGUCAGAACCAGAUUGAGUGCC
ensembl:snoRNA U3 Small nucleolar RNA U3